CACAAAAACUCAAAACGGUUUCUUCAUCUGAUCGGAAACUUAUUUCGCGAUUCAAUUUAAUCUGAUCGGAAAAUAUGUGACUGUUUCCAUCAGUUGCAACAGCCGGUGAUGAAUCUGAUGGAUGGGAUCGCAAUUUGGGAGAAAACAAAAAACUUUUGUCGCCGUGAAGUCUGGUGACGAUUGGAUCGGAUUACGCAGAACAAUUCAGACUUUAUUGAUAAGGAGAUUCGAUUUCAAGAGAAGGAAUCUUUAAGCUGCAAAGACAAGUUUGGAGACUAUACAAGGGUUAAGGACAUAAAUCUUGUUGAUCGACCUAUUCCAUUAGCGUACACAGAUAAAACUGUUCAAGAUUCUCUUAAAAAAGAGCAAACAACAACACUUGUGCAUAACGGUUAAGGUGUUAAAACUUUGAAAAUGCUUUCCCGUAGAUGAGGAUGGUUUCAAGUUAAAACCGGGUUUUCAUAAGAAAGAGCAUAAGUUUGUGAUGCUACCAAAUUUAAACACUGACCAGCAAUAACCUUAUGUGUGCUUGUUGAUGUAUCUCUAAGGAGUUAAUAUAGAGGUAAUAAAGAGAAUUUGAAAAUCUCAAGAGGAAUGCAAACCGAAAAAUCUAGACAUUCACCGCACAAUCUCUGAUGCAUUUUCCACCACCAUUCAAGGCGCUGACGCCAUAACUAGAAAGUGAAAAGGUUUGGACUGGUGAUCUGAGUUCUGCAAGACCAUUCCCUUGUGAAGACUUUAUUGAUAAGGUGCUUCGAUUUCAAGAGAAGGAAUCUUAAAGCUGCAAAAACAAGUUUGGAGACCAUUCAAGGGUUCAGGACAUAAAUGUUGUUGAUCGACCUAUUUCAUUAGCGUACACAGAUAAAACUAUUCAGGACUCUCUUAAAAAAAGCUAACAACAACACUUGUGCAUAACAGCAUAACGGUUAAGGUGUUAAACUGUACGAUUAUGUAUCUCUGGUUGUUGUUGACUUACUAAUAAAGGUCAUUGCCAGUGUAGCAUGCAUUAACCUGUCUUCUUCUUCAAGAGAAAUGCAAAUAUGCUAUAUAGUUCAAAAUGCUUUCCCGUAGAUGAGGAUGGUUCAUAAGAAAGAGCAAAAGUUUGUGAUGCUACCAAACAUGACCACUGACCAGAAUUCGAAAAUCUCAAGAGGAAUGCAAACAGAAAAAUCUAGACAUUCACGGCACAAUCUCUGAUGAAUUUUCCACCACCAUUCAAGGCGUUGACGCCAUAACUAGAAAGUGAAAAGGUUUGAACUGGUGAUCCUAGUUCUGCAACACCAUUUCCUUGUGAAGGAUAAUUUUGUUGAUGAGCGAGCUUGUUUCUGUCUUUCUUGCUGUGAGAUGAAUCUUAGUUCAAGUGGGUUACAAAAUACCAAUAGCCUUCUCAUGAAUUUGAAAGGAAAUAACUUGACUGCUGGUGGACUUGCACUGCCACUAAGUUACAGACUUUAUUGAUAAGGUGCUUCGAUUUCAAGAGAAGGAAUCUUUAAGCUGCAAAGACAAGUUUGGAGACCAUACAAGGGUUAAGGACAUAAAUCUUGUUGAUCGACCUAUUUCAUUAGCGUACACAGAUAAAACUGUUCAGGACUCUCUUAAAAAAGUUUAACACUUGAAAGUAUGAAUGAGAAGAAGCAACCUCGUCUGGGGAUAUCGGUUUUGGUUUAGUAAGUUUGACUUCUUUACCUCUCUCAUCAAAACAUUAAACGCACGAAAACAUAAAACACAACCAAAACAAGUAAUCUCCACAACCUCAAUGUUCACAUAACAUAAAACACAACCAAAACAAAAAUGUAAAAAUAAACUCCACCCACAACGUGAUGUUCACAUAAAACACACAACCAAAACAAAAAUGCAAAAAAAUAAACUCUAUCCACAACGUCACGUCAUGUUCACGUAAAAACACAUCCAAAACAAAACAAAAAUGCAAAAAUAAACUCCACGUUCUCAUAAACUCCACAACAUCACGGUCACAUAGGCUUUCUUUGCAGCCCAAUUUAACUCAAUUCCUAUUUUUAAAUUUUCUUUUCGCAAUGUAAUUAUUGAGCUUCAUUUGUUUUAAAAAUGUAAAUUAAGUUGUUACCGUUGUGAUAGAAGAAAAAUUAACAGAAACAAAAUCUCGUAUAGAUUUCCUUAAAACUCAUAUUAAUAUAACCGUUAUGAUUGAGAUAAUUAUCAAUUUCCUUUUCUUUUAAUUAACCUCUUAAUUAAUUUUCCUUUUUAAGUAUUAAAAAUUUACUCUUUCUCUCAACUCCACAACGCUUCUUCUCCGCUCUUCCUUUUCAUCGAGAAAUCAAAAUUCUCUUCUUCUUCUUCUUCUUCUUCGAUUCUCUGAUUCAUCGUCGGUGUAAAGCUUCCACCUUUAUAGAUUUCCUUUCAUCGUCGGUGUAAAGCUUCUACCUUUAUAGAUUUCCUCUGGUUGAUUUGUUGUUGUGAGAUUCGGUAUGAUGAUCGAGAUAUGCAACACGGCGAUCAUAGGGUGCUGAGGCUUGAGACGUGGUGGUGGUGAUCCAGGCUUUUGAUUCCUCUUCUUCUGCUUCGUCUUGGGAUCUAGCCUCUGCUUUGUCCUCAUGGUGGUGCUCUUGCUUCCUCUUUUCCCUUCACGUUUGUUUGGUUUCACAAUCUCAUAAGCGUAUAUGUAUGUAUAAACGAUUGAUGCAAGCCAAUGUGUGAUACUAUUCAGUUCAUCAAUCAUGUUGGUCCUAUGAUUCACGUAUCUGUGUUAGAAUUUCCUCUUUUGCUUAACUAUUACAAAUCCAUUAAUAUGCAGACCUUUGAUAGGAGGAGAUUUGAUGAUCAUGUAGCAUCAGCAUUACUACAUUUAUAACCGAGCUUACAGAACUGAAUCUCGUAGUAGUCAAGACUCGAUGAAUGUCUUUAUGAUGAUCUCCAUCGAUCCUCUGUUUUCUUCAGUCAUUAGAGACUAGGAGAAUAUUUAUAAGAGGAUUUUAUAUAUAUUAAAGAGAGGAACAGAGGUAUUAGCACUUAGCAGCAAAAUUCAGACACGACCACGGACUGAGUCACCUCAUCCCUCAGGAUAUUUAAAUAUAACAGGCGAGGGAAAAAGAAAACUCAAGGAGUUAUCGUAUAGAUUUUUACCUCUGCAAAUGGAGUUAUCUUGAAAACGUUUAAAAGAUUUGGUGAUAUGGUGUUGAUACCAAGGGUUAAUGCGUUCCGACAACGUAUAAGAUCAAGGUUUAUGAAGUUCAACAAAGCUUAGAAUUGAAGUUUAUAAAUGUUUUGAUUGGGGGAAUUAACAAGAGUGUACAAGUAGAGAAUAUCCUCGUAACACUGUUUUCUUCCCCUCUUAAAUCAAUGAUCAUACAAACAAUAUUAACAGAA